UGGGGAAUAUUGCACAAUGGGCGGAAGCCUGAUGCAGCGACGCCGCGUGAUUGAUGACGGCCUUCGGGUUGUAAACCUCUUUCAGUAGGGACGAAGCGUAAGUGACGGUACCUGCAGAAGAAGCACCGGCUAACUACGUUCCAGCAGCCGCGGUAAUACGUAGGGUGCGAGCGUUGUCCGGAAUUACUGGGCGUAAAGAGCUCGUAGGCGGUUUGUCACGUCGUCUGUGAAAUCCUAGGGCUUAACCCUGGACGUGCAGGCGAUACGGGCUGACUUGAGUACUACAGGGGAGACUGGAAUUUCUGGUGUAGCGGUGGAAUGCACAGAUAUCAGGAAGAACACCGAUGGCGAAGGCAGGUCUCUAGGUAGUAACUGACGCUGAGGAGCGAAAGCAUGGGUAGCGAACAGG
rnacentral:rRNA from 1 species